rnacentral:misc_RNA from 1 species
UUUCCGUAGGUGAACCUGCGGAAGGAUCAUUAUCGAGUAUCCAACGGGCAAGAGCUGUCGCUCACACGAAUGGUCGCGCACGCCCGAGCGCCCCCACACCUGUGCACCUACCCCCUGUAUCCACCCCCGCGGCGGUCCCUCUUUGGCUUGUUUGGGAAGCGUCUUACGUUUUCACACAAACUCAAAAUGUAUUAAAUAAUGUAUUUUUUGUUAUUGCGAUACCGAUAUAUAUACAACUUUCAACAACGGAUCUCUUGGCUCUC